rnacentral:rRNA from 1 species
UACGUAGGGGGCAAGCGUUGUCCGGAUUUACUGGGCGUAAAGAGCGUGUAGGCGGCCAUACAGGUCAGCUGUGAAAACUCGAGGCUCAACCUCGAGACGUCGGUUGAAACCGUAUGGCUAGAGUCCGGAAGAGGAGAGUGGAAUUCCCGGUGUAGCGGUGAAAUGCGCAGAUAUCGGGAAGAACACCUAUGGCGAAGGCAGCUCUCUGGGACGGUACUGACGCUGAGACGCGAAAGCGUGGGGAGCGAACAGG